rnacentral:rRNA from 1 species
CACGUAGAAGACUAGUGUUAUUUCAUGACGUUUAUUAGGUUUAAAGGGGUACCUAGACGGAAAAUCAAGCCAUAAAUAGGGACGUAAUUUUCUAGAGUUUUUAUGAAGAGUAAGGGGCGAAUUUCCGGGAGGAAAGCUGUAGUAUUUUGUGAUACUGGAAGGAACGGGUAACGGCGAAGGCAACCUUUUAUGUAAAAACUGACGUUGAGGGACGAAGCCCUUGGGUAACGAGAAGG